GUAGCGAAAUUCCUUGUCGGGUAAGUUCCGACCUGCACGAAUGGCAUAAUGAUGGCGGCGCUGUCUCCAGCAGAGACUCAGUGAAAUCGAAAUCGCAGUGAAGAUGCUGUGUACCCGCGGCUAGACGGAAAGACCCCGUGAACCUUUACUACAGCUUUACAUUGAACUUUGACCUUACCUGUGUAGGAUAGGUGGGAGGCUUUGAAGCAGGCACGCCAGUGUCUGUGGAGCCAUCCUUGAAAUACCACCCUGGUAAUGUUGGGGUUCUAACUCAAGCUUAACAGAGCUGAGGACAAUGUAUGGUGGGUAGUUUGACUGGGGCGGUCUCCUCCUAAAGAGUAACGGAGGAGUACGAAGGUGCGCUCAGAACGGUCGGAAAUCGUUCGAAGAGUAUAAAGGCAAAAGCGCGCUUAACUGCGAGACCCACAAGUCGAGCAGAUACGAAAGUAGGUCUUAGUGAUCCGGUGGUUCUGUAUGGAAGGGCCAUCGCUCAACGGAUAAAAGGUACUCCGGGGAUAACAGGCUGAUACCGCCCAAGAGUUCAUAUCGACGGCGGUGUUUGGCACCUCGAUGUCGGCUCAUCUCAUCCUGGGGCUGUAGCCGGUCCCAAGGGUAUGGCUGUUCGCCAUUUAAAGAGGUACGUGAGCUGGGUUCAAAACGUCGUGAGACAGUUUGGUCCCUAUCUUCCGUGGGCGCUGCAGAUUUGAGAAAGCCUGCUCCUAGUACGAGAGGACCGGAGUGGACGCACCGCUGGUGUACCUGUUGUCACGCCCGUGGCAUCGCAGGGUAGCUAAGUGCGGAAGAGAUAACCGCUGAAAGCAUCUAAGCGGGAAACUCGUUUCAAGAUGAGAUCUGCCGGGGCCUUGAGCCCCCUAAAGAGUCGUUCUAGACCAGGACGUUGAUAGGCUGGGUGUGGAAGUGCAGUAAUGCAUUAAGCUAACCAGUACUAAUUGCUCGUGCGGCUU
rnacentral:rRNA from 1 species